GACGAACGCUGGCGGCGUGCUUAACACAUGCCAGUCGAACGGAAAGGCCCUGCUUGCAGGGUACUCGAGUGGCGAACGGGUGAGUAACACGUGGGUGAUCUGCCCUGCACUUCGGGAUAAGCUUGGGAAAAUGGGUGGAAUACCGGAUAGAAGCCCUCUUGAGUGGGGGGGUGGGAAAGUUUUUUCGGUGUAGGAUGAGCGCGCGGCCUGUCAGCUUGUUGGUGGGGUAGUGGCCUACCAAGGCGGCGACGGGGAGCCGGCCUGAGAGGGUGUGCGGCCACAUAGGGGCUGAGAUACGGCGCAGAGUCCCACGGGGGGCAGCGGUGGGGAAUAUUGCACAAUGGGCGCGAGCCUGAUGCAGCGAGGCCGCGUGGGGGAUGUAGGCCCUCGGGUUGUAAACUCCGUUCGCUACGGAGGAAGAUUGUUUGUGACGGUACCUGGAUAAGAAGCACCGGCUAACUACGUG
rnacentral:rRNA from 1 species